CAGCAAGCUCUCCUGUAGGUGCUGCUGUGAGGACCAAACAGGCUGUUCCUCUGUCUACUUAUCCUUUCCAUAAUAUUGUAACACUUAUCUCAGUUUCGCCACCGUGAGAAAACAGGGGAUGCCACGCAAUGGUGACAUGGUGUGCACAACGUGACCUUCUCUGAGCCUGUAAAGAGCCGCGCCAACCAGAUGUCAUGGAUCCCCAAAUGUUGUUUUCCCAUUACUCCUCUACCAUGCGGAUUCUUCAAUCUGUAUCUCUCCAAGAGGUUCAUUUAAGUAGUUGCACAGACUUUAUAUUGCCCCUGCUCAAAGAAAGCAUAUGCUUUCGUCCGAGACUGGUGAUUGUUGUAAAUGCAAAAUGAUGAAUGCAGUUUUUUCACUGUUUUUGGUCAUGUUCAAAGAUUCUAAGAUUUUGGCGCAAGGUUAUUGUUUUCAUUAAUAGGCUCCUCUCCAUAUCAGUAUCCCCCGACCCCUUAGCAUGUCUUUGCCUGAACUUUUCCAACUGGAAGUUCCCACACCACAGAAGUACCGUUAUCCCCUUGCUUACUAUUAUUUUAACAUUGUCAAAGAAACUUAUAAUAUUGAUCCACUGGACAGACAGGUCAGCCCCAUCCUUGUGGGAAUUAAAUGACAGAUUACUUCAAUUAUUUCUCUUUGACAAACGUACCCUAACUCUUGAUUCAUCCUCAUCAUACAGUAAAUUUGUUGCAAAAUGGGGUAGAUUUAUGGCCACGUUAAAUUCUUCAUAACAAUCCAAUGUACUAAUCUUUUAGUUUGUCUGACCACCUACUGUCUAUAUAUACUUCUAUUUUUCUCCUACUUCUACAUAAUACAGCAUGACUACCUUGUGGCUCCUUGUGGGUCUUAUAUGAAUCUAGUCAGGUUUAUCUGUCCAUGGUAGAUCUAUGUUUAUGGAAAUGUAUAUGCGUUGUGAUAUUUAUGUUACCUUCAGCUUGAUGUUUUCCUAUAUACUCAGGUUUGGUUAUCUUAGUUUAAGAUUUCCUGAUAUUUGUAGCUUCUAUUGCUUACGUGGUCCACAGCCUCUACCUGAUAAUUUUCUCAUCCUCCUUAAAACAUUUGAUGCGAUCAUUGAUAGUAUAUUUGGAGGUCAUGCUUCAUAUCUCUCCUUAGUGUUUUUCCAUCCCCACUCCUGUCUUGUCAUUGUUUGUCUCCCCCCUUCUAUAUCGGUUUGCUCAUUUUAUUAGGUUGGGAUAUUAUUGUCUAAAAACAUGUACUAUGUUUCAUUCUCUCUUUUGUUAUGGUGAAUACUUCUGUACCCUACCUCUCUGAUUUGGUAGUACUUUGUGCUAUUCUCAUAUGUUAAUGUUGAAAUUUUUCAAUAAAAAUGUUUGAAACAAAAAAA